ensembl:lncRNA
CCCACCACCGCUUUCCUGCACACCCCUCCACCCCACCCCGCCGGCUCCAAUCCUCCCGGCAGUUGGCAGAGUGGACUGAGGGGCCCUUGGUUCAAGGCCUGCAUCCUCUGCCCUCAGGUGACCUCCUGCAGGAAACAGGGAGCGAGCUGCUGCUGGAGGCCCCGCUGCCCGGCACACGCCCACCUGCUGCGGAGCCCAGGCCUGGCCCGAGGGCCAGCCCUGGGGGCCCCACGAGCCCCGAGCCUGGAGACAGACCUGUCAUUUCACUGGUGAUUUCCCCUCAGCCUCCUGGUGUUGUGGGUGGGGAGUUUUCUGUUGUUUGGGGCCCGUCUCAUAUGCAGCAGGGCACCGAGCAACACCCCUGGCUUCCACCGACUAGAUCCACUUGUACCGCCAGGCCCCAGAGGCGUGACAACCGAGAACGUCUGCAGGGGGCUGAGAUGGCCCUUGAUCGAGGACCGGGGUCGGGGAGGCCCUGCAGACUGUGCAGACAGCGGAACCGGGGCUGCAGAGGGCAGGCGGAGGUCAGAGGCCUAGGCUUCCCUCCGACGCUGGCCUCGCCCAGGCUCUGUCCCGUCCCCUCCAUCCCUUCCCACCAGGGUCCACCCACCUCCAAGCAACAUGGCCCUGUCCUCUUCCAAAAACCCUCCGCAGCCACCAAGGAAGGGAGGAGGGCACACAAGGGCCCAGGUGGCCCCCGCGCCCUCCCAGCUUCCUCCUUCUCCAACCACAAGGACACGAGGCCCAAGGGACGGACGGACAAGUGGCGGGCACAGCCUUGCCUCCUGUGUCUUGGCUGAACCGCAGUUGCUUCCCCUCCUUUGGCAAAGCCACCUGGGCCCACGGCCCUCUUGCUCACCAACCCUGUGGCCCCCCAGGGCCGCCUGGCCUGGGCCCGAGGCUCCAGCUCACCACUGCUGGCCCGUCUUCCACCGCUCCUCUCCCCACGCCCCACCUAACUGCACGCUCUCUCCAUCUCCCCGGCCGGCCCCCUCCUUGCUCCUUCCCGUCAGCCUCUGCCUGCCCAGACGUCAUCUGCAGAGUGUGUGCCCAGUGGCUCAGUCGUGUCCGGCUCUCUGUGACCCCAUGGACUGUAACCCUCCAGGCUCCUCUGUCCAUGGAAUUCUCCAGGCAAGAGUACUGGAGUGGGCAGCCGUUCCCUUCUCCAGGGGCUCUUCCCGACCCAGGGAUCGAACCCGCGUCUCUUAUAUCGCCGGCAUCGGCAGGCAGGCUCUUUACCCCAAGUGCCACCUGGGAAGCUUCGGGGGGUGAUGGUCACCAUCUUCCCCUGGAAGCCUCCCCUGAAGCCUCGUACCCCAGCCCGGGCACGAGGUGGAUUCUCCCUUGCCCAGGCCCCUGGCACCCUUGCACCUGACAGACCUUCUAGCCCCUGCCACCCUCCGUCUGUCUGGGGAACACCUGGAUGCCGACAGACUCCUCCCCGUGAGACUGUGAGCUCCCCGGGCCCAGGGGCGGUGUCUGGGUCACCUCCUCCCUGCCCUGGAGCCAGAGAUCUGAACAGAGCAAGGACCCGGGGGCGUUGCUGGGGGUGAAUGGACAGCCAGCCGGCCGGCCGGACGGACAUGUGGACAGAUGGGUUCUGUGGUGGCGGCUCAUCCCCCUGUGGGUGUGGCCGCCACUCCUGGGCACGGAACCACCCCUCUUCCAGGCAGCCUGGAAUAUCGAAGGAUGCCAUCUCCCCCCAACCCGUCCCGACUCCAGAGAGCAGGAUGGAAGAUAACACCCUCUGGUUACCGACGGAGGAGGCCCUGAGGUCAGGGAGACGGAGACAAGCUCAGGACCACACAGGGAAGGAGGCAGGGGCAGCGACACCCCAACAGUGGGAGCAGGAAGCAGCUGUCGGCUGCGCCCCCACACUCCUGCCAUGGAGCCUCCUGCCAGCACGGACUCUGUCCAGAAGCUUCUGGGCGGGGGCCUCCUGGGGCCACUGUGGCCACGCCACUCGCUGCUCUCAGGAGGCCCGUGGGCACCCUGGCACCUGGGUGCCCACGCUGCCACUCCUCGAGGUCCCCCUUGAGGACCUGCCCUCGCGUGUCGGUGUCAGAGUGGGUGCGUGAGCCCCCCGGAGCACGGCGAUGGUCAGCACCUCCCUCCCUCUCUGGGUUGUCCUUGGGACGCGAGCAGGACUGCCAUGGAUGACUUCCUCCCAGUUAAUGGCUCACCCAUUAUGUCUCCGGGAUCUUCCCAGGAAAGAGCCACUCAGGGAGGCCAGCCCAAGGCUCCAGGGUCCACGGGGAAGGGGCGGCUAGAGCCCUCUGGGACUGACUCCAUUUGCAGGGGGCCCCAGGCUGAGCCCCGGGCCGGGAAAGGGGGCCUGAGCUCGGAUGGGUAGACAGCACAUCCUCCGAGCCUGAUGGAGAGGCAGAGUAAGACUGCUCAUGCAGGUCCCCUGUCCUCGGCCACCUCUCCACCCAGCCUCACGAACAGGGGUCGAGCCAUCCGGCCUCCCAGCUGCCCAGGAGCCCCGCGCUGGCUGGAGCAGGGGUCAGCCGUGCAGGAGGCACCAGGCCUAGGUCCCUGGGCAAGAGGGCCAGGCCCCCAGCGUUCUGACCCACUGCCCAUCUGUCAUCCUCGUGUUACGGGUGGGGAAACCGAGGCUCAGAGGAGGAAUGUCCCAGGUCCAAGGUCAAAAAGCUGAGAAGUGGCCCCUCUGGGGUUGGAAAGCCCUCCCCCCUGGGGAGGGUCUUGGGACAGCUGCUUCCCCUCCCCAUUCCCAAGGGCCCUAAGGCGCCCAGGGGCUUCCUGGCAAGCAGGUCAGCCCUCCCCACCCCCUCCCUGGCUCCCCAUUUCCUGUCCUGGGCCCAGCACCUCCUCCUAUCACCCCCCACACCCCCUCAGAGCUGUUUGGCCCAAUGGGUCCCUGGAGGGAGCCUUUGGGUCUAGGUUGAGGGCAGGGGAGGGGAGAGCCUCUGGCUGGAGCCAGCCUGGGGAAGGGGGCAGGGGCAGCUAGGGCGGCCACCCCCUCCAGUUUUCAGACCUCAAGGAGUCACCACGAAAUUCCAUUCUCCUGACAGCAAAGAUAUUGAAUCACUCUUGCCAAAGCCCAUGGCCCCCACAAGAAUGCUGCAGAGCUUUGUCCUGCUGUUCCCAGACAGGCAGUCACACCCAGGUCCCCCCACUCCCACCAAGCCUGGCUGCAGAGAGAUGCGGAAAAGCCCCUGCCGACCUCUACGCCACGGCCCUGCCAGGCUGGCCACUGCCCCCCUGUCCAGUUGCUCCUCCUCCUGCUCCCCAAGCACAACGCAGCAAGGCUUCUUGAGCCUCCACUUGCUUUCUGUACAAUGGGCACGUCACUCCUGCUGCCUGGUGGGCCGAACCACAGCAGCCAGGACUAUGGAGCAUGAGGCCAGGAGCAUGGGUGGGAGAAAGCAGAGGUGCUCCGGGUGCAGAGCAUGGGGUCCCACCCCUGGGGUGGGGCCACGGAGGACCCUGGCAGGGUCAGGCAGGAGAAUGGGUGGCACGGCUGUCCCUCCCCCUUGCAGGACCCUCAGCACGUGGUGGUGCCACUUAGUACGGACGCCGAUGAAGGACCCAGGGGCCCCGCACAGCUCAUGCAGACUUUGGGGCUUGACGGUUUGGGGCUGUUAGAGAACUGGGAGGCAUCGCAGCAGAGGCACAAAAUGGGGCCGGGACCUAGUUGGGAGAGAGGUGGACACUGGCCAGGACUUGAACUGCAAAGAGGCCAUGCAUGCGUGGGUGCUAAGUCGCUUCAGCUGUGUCCCGACUCUCUGUGACCCUAUGGACCGCAGCCUGCCAGGCUCCUCUGUCCAUGGGAUUUCCCAGGAAAGAAUACUAGAGUGGGUGGUCAUUUCCUCCUCCAGGGGAUUUUCCCGAUCCUGGGAUCGAACCUGCAUCUCUUACGUCUCCUGAAUUGGCAGGUGACUUCUUUACCACUAGCACGAACCCCCCCAGAGGCCAUGGGGAACCAUCAAAGGUUUGGACCUGCGUGCACAAUUAGAGCUGUGUGGUUUCGGAGUGGAGAAUCAAUACAGCAGGGCUGCUUUGGAUGGAGCGCUGAGGUCCACCAAUCCUGUGACCCGGCCUGCGCCAGCCCUAGCGGAGGAAGCCGGCUCGGGGAGGGGAAGUGCCCAGCGGGGAAGGACCGACGUCCCCCGCGGGACGACUGAGCCCAGAGUCCCUGUCCCGGAAUCGCCGU